AGUAAGUUAACCCCUAUGCUAAUGACGUAAGAGUUGGCAAACCUGGACUUCCAAUUCAUGAAAUGAGAUUAGAGGUGUGGGUUAGAGCUACUUUGACUUGUAAAAAGCACUCAAAUAUUUUCAGUUUGCCAUUCAUAAGAAGCGUCUGCUGACGUGGACCGAAAGAGAUCUCAGAAGACCUACGAUCAAGAACUGUUGCUUUGCAUAAAGCUGGAAAGAGUUACUUAGAUAUUCAUCUGUGCACAGUGAGACAAACUGUCUAUAACUGAAGAUGAUUUAGUACUAUAGGUACUCUCUCUAGAAGUGGCUGUUAGAUAUUCAUCUGUCCACAGUUAGACAAACUGUCUAUAAAUGGAGAUGAUUUAGUACUAUAGGUACUCUCUCUAGAAGUGGCUGUUAGAUAUUCAUCUGUCCACAGUUAGACAAACUGUCUAUAAAUGGAGAUGAUUUAGUACUAUAGGUACUCUCUCUAGAAGUGGCCGUUAGAUAUUCAUCUGUCCACAGUUAGACAAACUGUCUAUAAAUGGAGGUGAUUUAGUACUAUAGGUACUCUCACUAGAAGUGGCCGUUAGAUAUUCAUCUGUCCACAGUGAGACAAACUGUCUAUAAAUGGAGAUGAUUUAGUACUAUAGGUACUCUCUCUAGAAGUGGCCGUUAGAUAUUCAUCUGUCCACAGUGAGACAAACUGUCUAUAAAUGGAGAUGAUUUAGUACUACAGGUACUCUCUCUAGAAGUGGCCGUUAGAUAUUCAUCUGUCCACAGUGAGACAAACUGUCUAUAAAUGGAGAUGAUUUAGUACUAUAGGUACUCUCACUAGAAGUGGCCGUUAGAUAUUCAUCUGUCCACAGUUAGACAAACUGUCUAUAAAUGGAGAUUAUUUAGUACUAUAGGUACUCUCACUAGAAGUGGCCGUUAGAUAUUCAUCUGUGCACAGUGAGACAAACUGUCUAUAAAUGGAGGUGAUUUAGUACUAUAGG